rnacentral:rRNA from 1 species
UACAGAGGGUGCAAGCGUUACUCGGAAUUACUGGGCGUAAAGCGUGCGUAGACGGUAGCGUAAGUCGGGUGUGAAAGCCCCGGGCUCAACCUGGGAAUUGCAUUCGAGACUGCUCUGCUAGGGUGCGGAAGAGGGAAGCGGAAUUUCCGGUGUAGCGGUGAAAUGCGUAGAUAUCGGAAGGAACACCAGUGGCGAAAGCGGCUUCCUGGUCCAGCACCGACGUUCAGGCACGAAAGCGUGGGGAGCAAACAGG